rnacentral:rRNA from 1 species
AACGAACGCUGGCGGCAGGCUUAACACAUGCAAGUCGAGCGCAGGAAACUGACGGAACUCUUCGGAGGGAAGGCAGUGGAAUGAGCGGCGGACGGGUGAGUAACACGUAAGGAACCUGCCUCAAGGAUUGGGAUAACUCCGAGAAAUCGGAGCUAAUACCGGAUAGUUCAACGGACCGCAUGGUCCGCUGAUGAAAGGCGCUCCGGCGUCACCUUGAGAUGGCCUUGCGGUGCAUUAGCUAGUUGGUGGGGUAAUGGCCCACCAAGGCGACGAUGCAUAGCCGCACUGGGAGGGUGAUCGGCCACACGGGGACUGAGACACGGCCCAGACUCCGACGGGCGGCAGCAGUAGGGAAUCUUCCACAAUGGACGAAAGUCUGAUGGAGCAACGCCGCGUGAGUGAUGAAGGUUUUCGGAUCGUAAAACUCUGUUGUAAGGGAAGAACACGUACGGGAGGGAAUUCUCGUACCUUGACGGUACCUUACGAGAAAGCCACGGCUAACUACGUGCCAGCAGCCGCAGUAAUAC